GGACAGUCCAGUAUAGUCUUUAUUUUGGACCACGUCCUCCUCUGGCACACCUCUGUCAGAGAGUCCAGGUCCUGUCCUACAACAUGGCCUUAUGUGAUAGACGUGUGUGCCGCGUCUCCUUGGAGACUCUGAGACCAGUUUAAUGUUUACAGACAAUGAGGAAGUGAACUCUGAUCGCAGGCGUUUGCAGUGUCGGUCCUCUGAGGGUCAGACGGAGGGACCUGAACGGACCGUGGUCUGCUGCCUGUGGAGAUGAAGGUGGAGGAGAAGCUGGAGGUGAAGGUGGAGCUGCUGAAGUUCUGCUUGGCAGUCUUUAACACCGUGUUUCUGUUUGUGGGUCUGAGUGCGGCCGGCUGUGCGAUCUGGAUCCUGUUCGACAGAGGAAACUUCCUGAACUCCCUCCCCUCCGAGGAGCUGCAGGUGGUGUCCGUGGGCCUGCUGGUGAUCGGUGGUGUUGGCGGUCAGCGUGGCAGCGACCUGUGAGAUCAGGUUCCUGCUGCUGACGGUGAGUCAGCGUAACGUCUGAUGCUGCAUUCAGGUCACGUGGGAAAAUGCUGCGACCACAUCCAGGGCUCAGUCAGGUGUUUUUUA
rnacentral:lncRNA from 1 species